rnacentral:rRNA from 1 species
GACAGAGGGCGCAAACGUUGUUCGGAUUUACUGGGCGUAAAGGGCGCGUAGGCGGCAAUUCAAGUCAUCUGUGAAAUCUCCGGGCUUAACUCGGAACGGUCAGAUGAUACUGCUUUGCUAGAGUGCAGAAGGGGCAAUCGGAAUUCUCGGUGUAGCGGUGAAAUGCGUAGAUAUCGAGAGGAACACCAGAGGUGAAGACGGGUUGCUGGGCUGACACUGACGCUGAGGCGCGAAAGCCAGGGGAGCAAACGGG